rnacentral:tRNA from 1 species
GGGCGCGUAGCUCAGUGGUAGAGCAGCUGACUUUUAAUCAGCGGGUCGAUGGUUCGAUCCCAUCCGCGCUCACCA